rnacentral:snoRNA from 1 species
AUUAGUCAGCAUCAAAUCUGCAGAUGGCGUCCACCUAACUACUAUAGUCAAAAAGAGCCUGGAAUGACAGUUUUCCCUGAUGGCCACCAUUCUAUUUGCUCUAAUUGAUCUGCAACAUUUCAGGAAAUGACAACU